rnacentral:rRNA from 1 species
ACGUAGGGGGCGAGCGUUAUUCGGAAUUACUGGGUGUAAAGGGUAUGUAGGCGGCCCUUCAAGUCGCGUGUCAAAGUCCAGUGCUCAACGCUGGGUGUGCGCGCGAUACUGACGGGCUUGAGGGCUGGAGAGGUGAGCGGAAUUCCCGGUGUAGUGGUAAAAUACGUAGAGAUCGGGAUGAACACCAGCGGCGUAGGCGGCAAACUAGACAGUAUCUGACGCUAAGAUACGUAAGCGUGUGGAGCAUGCCG